GUCCAAGGACUCGGGGCCCUUCCCGCGAUGGCCCUCCCCCUGGGCGCCCCAGCGCCUGCCAAGUGGAGGUCCUGGCCCUGGGGCCGACUCUCUAGAAGCGGCCAGUGGGUUCGGCGAACUGCGCCCCGCACAGCAGCAGAGUCCCCCAGCUGCGGGGUCGGCACUUUCUCAUCCUCUUGCUCAGGCGGGCAUGAUUAGGGGGCUGGGAAGGAGGACUCACGGAAGGCGACGCAGCAAGAAGUGACAGAGACCCAGACCCAGCAGGGUCAGUCUGCAGGAAUUCUGACAGCAUUCCUCUGAGUCAGAGCUAGUGUCCUCUUGUACAGAUGAAGAGAUAACCUUCAAGGAAUAUGUUGACUUAACCGAAGUCACAAGCUUGCCAGAGUUAGAAUGUAGAACUCGCUGACCUCUAAGACCAGUCUCUUACACUGUUUGGCAAAGUGUGGCUUGGGUCCCACCAAUGCAGGGCAGGUGAUCCCAAUUGGGGCUUAGCCCAGGAGGGUUCUUGACUUGAAAGAAUUCAAGGGAAGCCAGUGGUCUCAGACAGUAACUUUUAUUGAAGUGACAGUGUUCAGCAGCAGCAGACGUACUGCUCCUUGUGGAGCAGGGCUACCCCACAGGCAGUGUGCCCAGAGUAGCAGCUCAAACGCAGUUCUGCAGUCAUACUUAUACCCACUUUUAUUUACAUGCAAAUUCAGGGACAGAUUAUGCAGAAAUUUCUAGGAAAAAGGUGGUAACUUCUUGGUCUUGGGUCACUACCAUGGAAAGGGCAGUAACCUCUGAGUGUUACCAUGGCAAUGGUAAACUGACAUGGCACAAUGAUGGGUGUGUCUUAUGGAAAGCUUCUUCUACCCCAUCCCUGCUCUAGCUAGUCCUCACUUUGGUCCAGUGUCUGAACCCCACCUUCAGAGUCGAGUCCUCCCUCCUACCUCACUAGUGGUCAUACUAAGAUGACUUCAGGUGGAACCCAGAUGAACAUUUUUUAAAAAUAGGUUAUAGUUUUUACUUUCAAUUAUAGAGCCGGCUUACUCAUACUAUGAAAGUCCUACAUUUCACACAGCCAGGGUGUAGUAGGCUGAAUAAUGGCCACCCAAAUAUAUCAAGUCCUAAUCUCUGGAAACUGUAAACAUUACUUUAUUUGAGAAAAUAAUUUUUGCAGAUGUGAUUAAGAAUGUUGAGAUGAGGAUAUCAUUGAGGAUUAGCCAAGUGGGCCCUAAAUACCAUCACACAUAUCCUUAUAAGAGAGAGGGAAAGGAAGAUUAUACCAACACACACAGAAGAAGAGGAAGCAAUGUGACCGUGGAGGCAGAGAUUGAUGUGGCCACAAGCCAAGGAUUGUUGGCAGCCACCAAAAGUUGGAAGAGGCAGACGGAUUCUUCCCUAGAGCAUCUGGAGGGAAUACAGCCCUGCCAACACAUUGACUUCAGCCCAGUGAAACUCAUGUUGAAUUUAUGGCCUCCAGAACUAUGAGAGAAUAAAUUUCUGUUGUUUUAAGCUAC